AUACGGAGGAUCCGAGCGUUAUCCGGAUUUAUUGGGUUUAAAGGGUGCGCAGGCGGACUGGUAAGUCAGCUGUGAAAGUUUGCGGCUUAACCGUAAAAUUGCAGUUGAUACUGUCAGUCUUGAGUGUGCAUGAGGUGGGCGGAAUUUGUGGUGUAGCGGUGAAAUGCUUAGAUAUCACGAGGAACUCCAAUUGCGAAGGCAGCUCACUGGGGCAUAACUGACGCUGAUACACGAAGGUGUGGGUAUCAAACAGGAUUAGAUACCCUGGUAGUCCACACAGUAAACGAUGAAUACUCGCUGUUUGCGAUAUACAGUAAGCGGCCAAGCGAAAGCAUUAAGUAUUCCACCUGGGGAGUACGCCGGCAACGGUGAAACUCAAAGGAAUUGACGGGG
rnacentral:rRNA from 1 species